UACGUAGGGGGCAAGCGUUGUCCGGAUUUAUUGGGCGUAAAGAGCGUGUAGGCGCCAGGUAGGUCCGUUGUGAAAACUCGAGGCUCAACCUCGAGACGUCGGCGGAAACCCUCUGGCUAGAGUCCGGAAGAGGAGAGUGGAAUUCCUGGUGUAGCGGUGAAAUGCGCAGAUAUCAGGAGGAACACCCGUAGCGAAGGCGGCACUCUGGGCCGAUUCUGACACUGAGGAGCGAAAGCGUGGGGAGCGAACAGG
rnacentral:rRNA from 1 species